rnacentral:lncRNA from 1 species
AUACAUCCCACCCAGAGAAACGAUCUCGCCUCAGAUGAUACUUGUCAUCUGUGAGACCACCCCUUUAGCUAGAGUUAACCACUUGAGCAGGUUUCAAUUUUGUCUCUGAAAGUAGGAAGCUAUCAGUCUCCCUACAUGACUCGUUCCACCCUUUGUGGAUACUUCUACCUGUAGAAAAAAAGGUUGGCAAACUUGGUGGCAUGGUGAGGACAAAGGGCAUUUUGAAAGAACCAGUGACUGAGGUCAGAGUGGGGAGCUGGUGUUAGCUGUGGGAUUCACUGCAGCGUCCUACCACAAAGGCAAAGAAGAUGAAAAUGCAGCGUGCAGUGCUGGGCUUGAUUCCCAAGUCGCAGUCGGGCUCCCGCUAUGAUGCAAGACAUUGUGAUUUUGACCUUGUUGGAUGCUGCACCUAAAGGUGGAUGGAAGAGGAAGAGUCUUGGGGGCUACCAUCCUGGCUGGAGAAGCUGGCACGAGGCUCCCUCUUGUGGAUGCAGCAAGGUCUAGGAAAUGGAGGCACAGUGAGAUAAAAUAAGUUGCUCAAAGCCAUAUGGCAAUUAAGACUUGAACUCUAAAAGGGUUUUAUUUUUAUUUUUAUUUAAUUAAUUAAUUUUUUUGAGACAGAGUCUUGCUCUGUUGCCCAGGCUGGUGUGCAGUGGCACAGUCACAACUCACUGCAGCCUCAACCACCUGAGCUCAAGGGAUCCUCCCAUCUCAGCCUCCCAAGUAGCUGGGACCACAGGAAGGUGCCACCAUGCAAGGCUAAUUUUUUAUUUUUAGUAGAGAUGGGGGUCUCACUAUGUUGCCGAGGCUGGUCUUGAACUCCUGGGCUCAAGCAGUUCUUCCAUCUCAGGCUCCCAAAGUGCUGGGGUUACAGGCUGUGCUCGGCCUGUUUUAUUAAUCUCUAAGUGCCCUGCAUCUGCUCUAAGGAGUGUGGCAUAGUCCUUGAUACUGGAUAACUGAGUAACGCAGGUAGUUUGUAUGAGAAGUGCAGUAACCACAUGGUGAAUGGAAGAUGAUGCUGUACACUUGCCCGGAGUUCACAGCUGGGACACUGCGGUUACCAGGACGCAGCUUCCAGAAUGGCUGACUAAAACUAGAAAAUGCAGACUCCACUGGGUCUUUGUGUUUCUGUUUUUUAAACGGGAAAAUUAAUUCUGCCAUUUACCUUCAAAGAGUUAGUGGGAGUGACAUAAAAUUGUUGAUAAAAAUCUUUGGAAGUCUCAGUGAGGGGAUCUGCUAUAAUGAAAUAAUGAAAUAAUUGAUGAAAUUAUUUUGUUCGUAAACAGUCUGAGGGCCAAGGGAAGAGAAGAGUGACAUAGAAUCUCCUUUCCUUGAGAUCUUAGAAUCACGCCUGCCUCCUUACCUCCAUCCAGGACUGUUAAAAAUCUCCCAAGGCAGAGACUUUUAGGCCUACAUGUACUUAGCCUCCUCUUCCCACCUCCUGUUCAUCUCUGUUUCCAAUGUUCCACUGCCAUCACUGCCAGGAAGUUCUGCAGAGAAGAAUGAAGAAGAACCGUAUGAUCCUAAACAUGUUCUUUGAAGAUAUUAUCAACCCACCAUUGGCCUUAUUUACUGGAAUGUUUUUAUAACCUUUAUUUGACACCUCUUCCCAUCAUUUAAAAUAAAUCUGGUGCUUCCCUGAAUAA